UACCAGCACCCCGAGUGGUCGGGACGUUUUAUUGGGCCUAAAGCAUCCGUAGCCGGUUCUGCAAGUCUUCCGUUAAAUCCACCUGCUUAACAGAUGGGCCGCGGAAGAUACUAUAGAGCUAGGAGGCGGGAGAGGCAAGGCGGUACUCGGAUGGGUGAGGGGUAAAAUCCGUUGAUCCAUUGAAGACCACCAGUGGCGAAGGCGGCUUGCCAGAACGCGCUCGACGGUGAGGGAUGAAAGCUGGGGGAGCAAACCGG
rnacentral:rRNA from 1 species